CUUUUUCUUUACCGGAGCUUGCUCCACCGAAAGAAAAAGAGUGGCGAACGGGUGAGUAACACGUGGGUAACCUGCCCAUCAGAAGGGGAUAACACUUGGAAACAGGUGCUAAUACCGUAUAACACUAUUUUCCGCAUGGAAGAAAGUUGAAAGGCGCUUUUGCGUCACUGAUGGAUGGACCCGCGGUGCAUUAGCUAGUUGGUGAGGUAACGGCUCACCAAGGCAACGAUGCAUAGCCGACCUGAGAGGGUGAUCGGCCACACUGGGACUGAGACACGGCCCAGACUCCUACGGGAGGCAGCAGUAGGGAAUCUUCGGCAAUGGACGAAAGUCUGACCGAGCAACGCCGCGUGAGUGAAGAAGGUUUUCGGAUCGUAAAACUCUGUUGUUAGAGAAGAACAAGGAUGAGAGUAAAAUGUUCAUCCCUUGACGGUAUCUAACCAGAAAGCCACGGCUAACUACGUGCCAGCAGCCGCGGUAAUACGUAGGUGGCAAGCGUUGUCCGGAUUUAUUGGGCGUAAAGCGAGCGCAGGCGGUUUCUUAAGUCUGAUGUGAAAGCCCCCGGCUCAACCGGGGAGGGUCAUUGGAAACUGGGAGACUUGAGUGCAGAAGAGGAGAGUGGAAUUCCAUGUGUGGCGGUGAAAUGCGUAGAUAUAUGGAGGAACCCAGUGGCGAAGCGGCUCUCUGGUCUGUACUGACGCU
rnacentral:rRNA from 1 species